rnacentral:misc_RNA from 1 species
GACAGAAUCCGAAGCAGCCAACGAAUCUGUGGGUUAAUCGUUUCGCAGCGACAGCUCUGCGAGUCACCGCAGCCAAACAAAUGGAGAUUAUGCGACUUUAGUCUAUAUUUUGAUGGCACUGCUCAAGGUGUGUGCCCGCCGACGGAAAAACUCGUAUGAAAAUUGUGAAAAUCAAAUCUAGCUGCGCCAUGUACUGCACCACCAGACUGCUCAGAUACGUGCUGUGUGUCAUCAGUGGCAUCUGUGCCCUAGGUGGCUGCCUGCUCAUCUGGUACGGCGCCUGGCUGCUGGACAGCCUCUCCGACGAGCAGCGGGUGAUGGGCAUGGAUCACGGCGAGGACUUGGCCGCUCUUCUCUGCGUCCUACUGGGCACCGUCAUCGUAGUGGGCAGCAUUUUCGGAUGGAUGGCUGUGGCCAAGGAUUCCAGGGCGCUGUUGAUCUGCUAUGCAGUUCUGCUGGUGUUCCUCUUGAUCAUUCAGUUUGUAAUGGUCAGCAUAAGUUAUGCCGCCAGCCGAGAUUCCCUGCCGGAUUCUUUGACGCAAGGACUUGAUGACCUGUGGGAUGCGCAUCACGAAGGCAACAGCACCCUGAACACCUACGAGGAGUGGCUUCACUGUGUGGCCGCAGAAGUGCCGAGGACUACCUACACUUGGAGAAAAUGCCGCCGCCAAGUUGUUGUCUCGAUCGGGACUGCACCAAGCCAAUGAAUCUCUUCAUGACGGGCUGCGAAGUCAAGUUCAAGGAGUAUGUCAGCGCCAAGACUUCCAACUUCCACUCGCUAAGUUGGAUCCUUGUAUUCUUUGAGUUCGCCGGCUCGGUGACCACCUGCUACCUGGUUGACAGCAUUCGCAAUCAUCGCGACCGCAUAAGAUUCUAUAAUUAAGAUAGUAUUUACGAACCGUAUUAUCGUUAUUUGUUGUGAAUAAUUUCCUAGCCCCACGGCCCUGGCGAAUUGUGAUUGUAGCUUACGAUGAUUAACCAAGUUAGGCUACAGAUACCAAGUAUUCAUUCAUAAAACUGUAAACUGGCACCCACGCCUAGACAUAAUUCGAAACGAAAAUAAAUAAGCCCGUUGCCAUUGACUAAACU